rnacentral:pre_miRNA from 1 species
GUACUUCUUCUUCCGUCCAGAAUUACUUGUCAGAGAAAUAGAUGUAUUUAGACGUAUUUUUAGUUGUAGAUACAUCUAUUUCUAUAUAUUUCCUCUACAAGUAAUUUAGAACGGAGGAAGUAGUAU